rnacentral:pre_miRNA from 1 species
AGUGGAACAGCUGGGUCAAAUUCCAAGUUUUCUGAGAAAUCUCCAUACCGCUUUCCAUAAUGAUUUUGCCAAUUUGCAUUCCCACCAGCAAU